rnacentral:rRNA from 1 species
GGAGGGAAACGAAUGCAGCUGAAGUGGCUCCGUAUCGGGUUCAGGGGACGUCGGAGGAUGUUCCGGGUCGCGGUAGCCCUGGGCGCCGCGUGCUCGAGACGCCGACGACAAGCACUCCCGUGUGGAGCCGGCCAACAGCAGUUGUUUCCGGCCCAGAAGGGAACGUACAGCCGUUCGCGACUGAGGAGAGCAGCGCAGGCCCCCGGGCCGCCUCUUUCCGUUUCCCCGCGGCGGGGGCAGUGUCCGCCGACGGUUCGUCUGCUCGGUCGGGGGGUCGGCCACGCCUUGCGCUCAGGUUGUUGGUGCUCAAAUGGCUGCAUCCGACCCGUCUUGAAACACGGACCAAGGAGUGCAACAUGCGUGCGAGUCUUGGGGUGACAAACCCGUCGGCGCAAUGAAAGUGAAGGCAGGCCGCAUCGUCGACCGAUCCCAGGCUACGCUGUGGCGGGAUUUGAGUAAGAGCGUGCCUGUUGCGACCCGAAAGAUGGUGAACUAUGCCUGAAUAGGGUGAAGCCAGAGGAAACUCUGGUGGAAGCUCGUAGCGAUUCUGACGUGCAAAUCGAUCGUCAAAUUUGGGUAUAGGGGCGAAAGACUAAUCGAACCAUCUAGUAGCUGGUUCCCUCCGAAG